AUUGAACGCUGGCGGCAGGCCUAACACAUGCAAGUCGAACGAGUGGCGGACGGGUGAGUAAUGUCUGGGAAACUGCCUGAUGGAGGGGGAUAACUACUGGAAACGGUAGCUAAUACCGCAUACCAUCGGAUGUGCCCAGAUGGGAUUAGCGAGGAGGUGGGGUAACGUCUCACCUAGGCGACACUCCCUAUCUGGUCUGAGAGGAUGACCAGCCACAGUGAAACUGAGACACGGUCCAGCGCCCAACGGUAGGCACCGGUGGGGAUUAUUGCACAAUGGGCGCAAGCCUGAUGCAGCCAUGCCGCGUGUAUGAAGAAGGCCUUCGGGUUGUAAAGUACUUUCAGCGGGGAGGCGUUACCCGCAGAAGAAGCACCGGCUAACUCCGGGCCAGCAGCCGCGGUAAUUC
rnacentral:rRNA from 1 species